rnacentral:rRNA from 1 species
GCAGGCCUAACACAUGCAAGUCGAGCGAGACCUUCGGGUCUAGCGUGGGACGGGUUAAUAACGCGUGCCAACGUACCCAGCUCUGCGGAAUAACCUCUGGAAACGGAGAGUAAUACCGCAUACGCCCUUCCGGGGAAAGAAUUUCGGAGUUGGAUCGGCCCGCGUUACAUUAGGUAGUUGGUGGGGUAACGGCUUACCAAGGCAACGAUAGGUAGGGGGCCUGAAAGGGUUAUCCCCCGCACUGGUACUGAGACACGGACCAAACUCCUACGGGAGGCAGCAGUGAGGAAUAUUGGUAAUGGAGGCAACUCUGAACCAGCCAUGCCGCGUGAAGGAAGAAUGUCCUAUGGAUUGUAAACUUCUUUUAUUUGGGAAGAAACCUAUCUACGUGUAGAUAGCUGACGGUACCAAACGAAUAAGGACCGGCUAACUCCGUGCCAGCAGCCGCGGUAAUACGGAGGGUCCAAGCGUUAUCCGGAAUCUUUGGGUUUAAAGGGUUCGCAGGCGGUUUAUUAAGUCAGUGGUGAAAGCCUACAGCUCAACUGUAGAACUGCCAUUGAUACUGAUAGACUUGAAUAUAGUUGGAGUAUGCGGAAUGUGUAGUGUACCGGAGAUAUGCUUAUAUAUUACACAAACACCGAUAGCGAAGGCAGCUUACUAAACUAUACUUGACGCUCAUGAACGAUAGCG